UGCUCGUUUUCUCAGCUCGUUGCCCCCGAAAAGGUAAACUUUUCCUUAACCUUAACUCGUUUGUUGGAUGUUUUGUUUUAUGAACUGAAACUUUUCCAUGGAUUCUUUACCCUUCCUUGCUCGAGUACCUGCUUCUUUUCUUAGUUCACUUUGUUGUUUAAUGUUUAGUUGGCUUAGUUCGAGUUGAUCUAUUUUAGUUGUUUGUAGCAUGGAACAUGUCUCUGUAUAGGUCUUAUG
rnacentral:lncRNA from 1 species